AUUGAACGCUGGCGGCAUGCCUUACACAUGCAAGUCGAACGGCAGCACGGGGCAACCUGGUGGCGAGUGGCGAACGGGUGAGUAAUGCAUCGGAACGUACCUUUCAGUGGGGGAUAACGUAGCGAAAGUUACGCUAAUACCGCAUAUUCUGUGAGCAGGAAAGCAGGGGAUCGCAAGACCUUGCGCUGAUUGAGCGGCCGAUGUCAGAUUAGCCAGUUGGUGAGGUAAAGGCUCAACAAGGCGACGAUCUGUAGCGGGUCUGAGAGGAUGAUCCGCCACACUGGGACUGAGAAACGGACCAGACUCCUACGGGAGGCAGCAGUGGGGAAUUUUGGACAAUGGGGGCAACCCUGAUCCAGCCAUGCCGCGUGAGUGAAGAAGGCCUUCGGGUUGUAAAGCUCUUUCGGCCGGGAAGAAAUCGCACGGGCUAAUACCCUGUGUGGAUGACGGUACCGGAAUAAGAAGCACCGGCUAACUACGUGCCAGCCGCCGCAGUAAAAC
rnacentral:rRNA from 1 species